rnacentral:rRNA from 1 species
UACGUAGGUGGCAAGCGUUGUCCGGAAUCAUUGGGCGUAAAGAGCGUGUAGGCGGCUCGAUAAGUCUGCUGUGAAAGUCCAGGGCUCAACCCUGGAAGGCCGGUGGAAACUGUCGGGCUAGAGUCCGGAAGAGGCGAGUGGAAUUCCCGGUGUAGCGGUGAAAUGCGCAGAUAUCGGGAGGAACACCAAUGGCGAAGGCAGCUCGCUGGGACGGUACUGACGCUGAGACGCGAAAGCGUGGGGAGCGAACAGG